AGGCAGAACAUGCCCUUGGUGAAGCCAUGCUGCUUUUCCUGUACCACCUUCACUGUCUUCCACCUCCAUCUUCCAAGCCUUAGCAUAGCUUCCAGGAGGAUCUGCUCCAUGAUCUUUCCCAGCACAGAGGACCCAGAACUGGAACCAGAACUCCAGGAGCAGCCUCAGCAAUGCAGAGUAGAUGGGAAAGAUCACCUCUCUUGCUGGUAAUACUUUGCCUAACGUAGGCAGGAAUGACGUUGGCCUUCUUAGCAGCAAGAACACCCAUGUUCAACUUGGUGUCCACCAGGACUCCCUAGGCCCUUUUCAGUUCACUGAGAAGGCAGAAACCUGAACGUUGCUGAGUCUGGUCUGUGGCAUUGACACUAAAUAAGCAGCAGUCCCUAAAAGGUUAGAAAUGGCCCCACUCAAAAAUUUUACAAGUGCUUGAGAGACAAGGGGUUGUAAGAGAUAGGCAAGAUGCCUGGAGGCUAAAACAACGUUGAGUGCAGCUCAGAAAGCACUUUCUGUGGACAGAACGUCUUUUCAACACAGCCAGAGAUUACCCAUAUGUCUUCAAACCCCAUUGCAUGCUACAUGUUGCAUUGAUCGUGUGCAGCAGCUGAGAGCUGAACAAAUAAGCUGCUGCUGCUGUGCUGGGUUGGGGAACAUCCUGGUGUUGCUCUGACAUUUCUCGUCAAGUUUUCAGACUCAAAUGGAUCCCACAUGGGGUAGAGCAUCAGGCUCCAUCAGCAAGCGGGAGAUUUGGAGGCUGGAGCCCUCUGUGUCCGGCUCAUGGAAACAAAGCAUCUUUUGUACUUCCUUCCAGUCAGGACAUUGGGUUGAAAGAAAACUUUGAGUGAGUCAGCCACUCCCCUGCUAUUAUAACAAGCAGCUGAAAGGCCACCAAAACCAGGCACUGCUGCUGGUCAAGCAGGCGCUUUCCUGCUCCUCUUUUAUUUUGGUUCACUGCUGGCAUGCUGGGGGUUUGCCACUUCUUUCUUUGCCUCCUACUGCCCAGAAACACUACAAGUAAAACCCCGAAGUGAUAUUAAAAUGGGAGGCUGGGCUCACAGCCAGCCGUUAGCAGA